rnacentral:rRNA from 5 species
UUAAAUUGAAGAGUUUGAUCAUGGCUCAGAUUGAACGCUGGCGGCAGGCCUAACACAUGCAAGUCGAACGGUAACAGGAAGCAGCUUGCUGCUUCGCUGACGAGUGGCGGACGGGUGAGUAAUGUCUGGGAAACUGCCUGAUGGAGGGGGAUAACUACUGGAAACGGUGGCUAAUACCGCAUAACGUCGCAAGACCAAAGAGGGGGACCUUCGGGCCUCUUGCCAUCAGAUGUGCCCAGAUGGGAUUAGCUUGUUGGUGAGGUAACGGCUCACCAAGGCGACGAUCCCUAGCUGGUCUGAGAGGAUGACCAGCCACACUGGAACUGAGACACGGUCCAGACUCCUACGGGAGGCAGCAGUGGGGAAUAUUGCACAAUGGGCGCAAGCCUGAUGCAGCCAUGCCGCGUGUAUGAAGAAGGCCUUCGGGUUGUAAAGUACUUUCAGCAGGGAGGAAGGUGUUGUGGUUAAUAACCGCAGCAAUUGACGUUACCCGCAGAAGAAGCACCGGCUAACUCCGUGCCAGCAGCCGCGGUAAUACGGAGGGUGCAAGCGUUAAUCGGAAUUACUGGGCGUAAAGCGCACGCAGGCGGUCUGUCAAGUCGGAUGUGAAAUCCCCGGGCUCAACCUGGGAACUGCAUUCGAAACUGGCAGGCUUGAGUCUUGUAGAGGGGGGUAGAAUUCCAGGUGUAGCGGUGAAAUGCGUAGAGAUCUGGAGGAAUACCGGUGGCGAAGGCGGCCCCCUGGACAAAGACUGACGCUCAGGUGCGAAAGCGUGGGGAGCAAACAGGAUUAGAUACCCUGGUAGUCCACGCCGUAAACGAUGUCUACUUGGAGGUUGUGCCCUUGAGGCGUGGCUUCCGGAGCUAACGCGUUAAGUAGACCGCCUGGGGAGUACGGCCGCAAGGUUAAAACUCAAAUGAAUUGACGGGGGCCCGCACAAGCGGUGGAGCAUGUGGUUUAAUUCGAUGCAACGCGAAGAACCUUACCUGGUCUUGACAUCCACAGAACUUUCCAGAGAUGGAUUGGUGCCUUCGGGAACUGUGAGACAGGUGCUGCAUGGCUGUCGUCAGCUCGUGUUGUGAAAUGUUGGGUUAAGUCCCGCAACGAGCGCAACCCUUAUCCUUUGUUGCCAGCGAUUAGGUCGGGAACUCAAAGGAGACUGCCAGUGAUAAACUGGAGGAAGGUGGGGAUGACGUCAAGUCAUCAUGGCCCUUACGACCAGGGCUACACACGUGCUACAAUGGCGCAUACAAAGAGAAGCGACCUCGCGAGAGCAAGCGGACCUCAUAAAGUGCGUCGUAGUCCGGAUUGGAGUCUGCAACUCGACUCCAUGAAGUCGGAAUCGCUAGUAAUCGUGGAUCAGAAUGCCACGGUGAAUACGUUCCCGGGCCUUGUACACACCGCCCGUCACACCAUGGGAGUGGGUUGCAAAAGAAGUAGGUAGCUUAACCUUCGGGAGGGCGCUUACCACUUUGUGAUUCAUGACUGGGGUGAAGUCGUAACAAGGUAACCGUAGGGGAACCUGCGGUUGGAUCACCUCCUUACCUUAAAGAA